UUAAUUGAAGCCAAAAUAGAGGCUUUCCAUUGUUAAUGGAAUAAUUGAUUAAAUAUAAUCCAAUUAAA
rnacentral:tRNA from 1 species